CUGAGCCCGCCCCCCGACAGGCACCGUGAGCCGUCUUGGAGCCCCAGGUGAAGGGCAGAUGCAGAGGAGAGAGACACAGAGGGCGGUUUAUGCUGUUAACCUCAGGGGUCACUCACAGCUUGAGUUCCAGCAGUAACAUCACUGCAGGUUAUUCAUUGCUCGCCACUCCGCACGAUAAGUCUCUGUUUGGCGUGUAGCUGCGUGGAAAAAGGCGGAGCCGCCCUCUCGCUGAUUCCCACAGGGCUCAGACAGACAGAAAAGGGACUGAGAGGCCCAGCAAUUCCGCGGUGAAGAUGGAAACGAUCCCGGGCUCAGGGAUUGUGCUGAUUUUUGUUCUGAUGUCCCCGGGUACAGCCGAGAUCCAGCAGCCGGGCUCCGCAGAAGGUGUGGAGGGAGCCGAGCUGAACUUCACCUGCUCUCACUCCUCAAUCAAAACGAAUGAGAAUGUCGUUUGGUACCGGCAGUUCCCGAACCGAGGACCCGAAUUUAUAGUUUCUGGAUUCCGGGAAACCACUCAUAUCCCCGACCCCGAGGGAGCUUUGUAUGUUUCUGGAGACAGAAAGUCCAGCGCCCUGGCCCUGAGCAGGGCGAGGCUGGCAGACGCUGCGGUGUAUUACUGCGCUCUGCGUGACACAGUGUGACAGCCAGGGGCUGGUCCCGUACAAGAAGUAUCUCACUGAGGCCUGUUGUGUGCGUAGGCGGUGGGAGGGGUGAAUGUGGGGUGUGUUUCUAUGAGCGGGAAAGAAGAGGGGCGAUUAGGGGAGAUAAAAGAGAUGAAUAAAACAUUUGGGGCCACAUUUCCAAGGUCUUAGUGCUCCUAACUAUUUACUUAGAACUUUUCCAAAGGAUCAAAUCUCAUUUCUCUCGUAAGAAAAUCUGCUUCAGGGAGAACUAUGAAGCACAGUAAAUGAAAAGAAACAAACCUUUCCCAUUACAUCUGCAAGGAGGCUAUUUUGAUAGAGAGAUGAAUAGAUAGAUUCAGCGUUGUUGUAGCCCCGUUGGAGGCAGGAUGUUAGACAGACAAGGUGGGAGAGAGAAUAUAUUUUA